GGACGAACGCUGGCGGCGUGCCUAACACAUGCAAGUCGAGCGAGGAGAUCCCUUCGGGGAUGAACCUAGCGGCGGACGGGUGAGUAACACGUGGGCAACCUGCCUUAUAGAGGGGAAUAGCCUUCCGAAAGGAAGAUUAAUACCGCAUAACAUUACAUUUUCGCAUGAAGAAGUAAUUAAAGGAGUAAUCCGCUAUAAGAUGGGCCCGCGGCGCAUUAGCUAGUUGGUGAGGUAACGGCUCACCAAGGCGACGAUGCGUAGCCGACCUGAGAGGGUGAUCGGCCACAUUGGGACUGAGACACGGCCCAGACUCCUACGGGAGGCAGCAGUGGGGAAUAUUGCACAAUGGGGGAAACCCUGAUGCAAGCAACGCCGCGUGAGUGAUGAAGGUCUUCGGAUCGUAAAGCUCUGUCUUCAGGGACGAUAAUGACGGUACCUGAGGAGGAAGCCACGGCUAACUACGUGCCAGCCGCUGC
rnacentral:rRNA from 1 species